UUUAUAUGAGAGUUUGAUCCUGGCUCAGGAUGAACGCUGGCGGCGUGCCUAAUACAUGCAAGUCGAACGAGUUCUCGUUGAUGAUCGGUGCUUGCACCGAGAUUCAACAUGGAACGAGUGGCGGACGGGUGAGUAACACGUGGGUAACCUGCCCUUAAGUGGGGGAUAACAUUUGGAAACAGAUGCUAAUACCGCAUAGAUCCAAGAACCGCAUGGUUCUUGGCUGAAAGAUGGCGUAAGCUAUCGCUUUUGGAUGGACCCGCGGCGUAUUAGCUAGUUGGUGAGGUAAUGGCUCACCAAGGCGAUGAUACGUAGCCGAACUGAGAGGUUGAUCGGCCACAUUGGGACUGAGACACGGCCCAAACUCCUACGGGAGGCAGCAGUAGGGAAUCUUCCACAAUGGACGCAAGUCUGAUGGAGCAACGCCGCGUGAGUGAAGAAGGCUUUCGGGUCGUAAAACUCUGUUGUUGGAGAAGAAUGGUCGGCAGAGUAACUGUUGUCGGCGUGACGGUAUCCAACCAGAAAGCCACGGCUAACUACGUGCCAGCAGCCGCGGUAAUACGUAGGUGGCAAGCGUUAUCCGGAUUUAUUGGGCGUAAAGCGAGCGCAGGCGGUUUUUUAAGUCUGAUGUGAAAGCCCUCGGCUUAACCGAGGAAGCGCAUCGGAAACUGGGAAACUUGAGUGCAGAAGAGGACAGUGGAACUCCAUGUGUAGCGGUGAAAUGCGUAGAUAUAUGGAAGAACACCAGUGGCGAAGGCGGCUGUCUGGUCUGUAACUGACGCUGAGGCUCGAAAGCAUGGGUAGCGAACAGGAUUAGAUACCCUGGUAGUCCAUGCCGUAAACGAUGAAUGCUAGGUGUUGGAGGGUUUCCGCCCUUCAGUGCCGCAGCUAACGCAUUAAGCAUUCCGCCUGGGGAGUACGACCGCAAGGUUGAAACUCAAAGGAAUUGACGGGGGCCCGCACAAGCGGUGGAGCAUGUGGUUUAAUUCGAAGCAACGCGAAGAACCUUACCAGGUCUUGACAUCUUUUGAUCACCUGAGAGAUCAGGCUUCCCCUUCGGGGGCAAAAUGACAGGUGGUGCAUGGUUGUCGUCAGCUCGUGUCGUGAGAUGUUGGGUUAAGUCCCGCAACGAGCGCAACCCUUAUGACUAGUUGCCAGCAUUUAGUUGGGCACUCUAGUAAGACUGCCGGUGACAAACCGGAGGAAGGUGGGGAUGACGUCAAAUCAUCAUGCCCCUUAUGACCUGGGCUACACGUGCUACAAUGGAUGGUACAACGAGUUGCGAGACCGCGAGGUCAAGCUAAUCUCUUAAAGCCAUUCUCAGUUCGGACUGUAGGCUGCAACUCGCCUACACGAAGUCGGAAUCGCUAGUAAUCGCGGAUCAGCACGCCGCGGUGAAUACGUUCCCGGGCCUUGUACACACCGCCCGUCACACCAUGAGAGUUUGUAACACCCGAAGCCGGUGGCGUAACCCUUUUAGGGAGCGAGCCGUCUAAGGUGGGACAAAUGAUUAGGGUGAAGUCGUAACAAGGUAGCCGUAGGAGAACCUGCGGCUGGAUCACCUCCUUUCUAAGGAA
rnacentral:rRNA from 1 species